AGUGAACGCUGGCGGCGUGCUUAACACAUGCAAGUCGAACGAGAACGGCUCUAGCUUGCUAGAGUGUCAGCUAAGUGGCGGACGGGUUAGUAAAGCAUAGGUAACGUGCCCUUUAGAGUGGGAUAACAGUUGGAAACGGCUGCUAAUACCGCAUAUGCCCUUAAUACAUAAGUAUGCAGGGGAAAUGGAUUCUGCUAAAGGAUCGGCCUAUGUCCUAUCAGGUAGUUGGAGAGGUAAGAGCUCCCCAAGCCGAUGACGGGUAGCUGGUUUGAGAGGAUGAUCAGCAACACUGGAACUGAGACACGGUCCAGACUCCUACGGGAGGCAGCAGUGGGGAAUAUUGCACAAUGGAGGAAACUCUGAUGCAGCAACGCCGCGUGGGGGAUGACGCAUUUCGGUGUGUAAACUCCUUUUAUUAGGGAAGAUAAUGACGGUACCUAAUGAAUAAGCACCGGCUAACUCCG
rnacentral:rRNA from 1 species